UGGGGAAUAUUGGGCAAUGGGCGCAAGCCUGACCCAGCCACGCCGCGUGAGUGAUGAAGGCUUUCGGGUCGUAAAGCUCUGUGGGGAGGGACGAAUCAGUUGCGGGAAUAAUACCCCGCGACCUUGACGGUACCUCCUUAGCAAGCACCGGCUAACUCCGUGCCAGCAGCCGCGGUAAUACGGAGGGUGCAAACGUUGCUCGGAAUCAUUGGGCGUAAAGCGCACGUAGGUGGCCUGACAUGUCGGGUGUGAAAUCCCUCGGCUUAACCGAGGAAGUGCAUUCGAAACUAGCGGGCUUGAAUACCCAAGAGGGUCUCGGAAUUCCCGGUGUAGAGGUGAAAUUCGUAGAUAUCGGGAGGAACACCAGUGGCGAACGCGGAGACCUGGGGGGAUAUUGACACUGAGGUGCGAAAGCGUGGGGAGCAAACAG
rnacentral:rRNA from 1 species